CCGACGGUGAGAGGCGAAAGCUGGGGGAGCAAACCGGAUUAGAUACCCGGGUAGUCCCAGCUGUAAACGAUGCGCGUUAGGUGUGUCAGUGACCACGUGUCACUGAUGUGCCGAAGGGAAACCGUGAAACGCGCCGCCUGGGGAGUACGGUCGCAAGGCAGAAACUUAAAGGAAUUGGCGGGGGAGCACCACAACGGGUGGAGCCUGCGGUUUAAUCGGACUCAACGCCGGAAAUCUCACCGGAUAA
rnacentral:rRNA from 1 species